GUCUACGGCCACACCACCCUGAACACACCUGCUCCCGUCUGAUCUCGAAUGCUAAGCAGGAGGGCCGGGCCUGGUUAGUACUUGGGUGGGAGGAAACCAAGAUGACAAGCUGCAGGUG
rnacentral:rRNA from 1 species